AAUGCCGAGACACCUACCAAAAGAUGGAUACAAGUCUACAAAGACACCUCGUCCUAGUUAUCGGUUGCCUCGUGAUCUGAAAACAUGAAGUUGAAAACGGUGAGUAUAAACCCAGUGAGUGAACAAGGAAGGGAACAAGCAACAAUAAGGGAGAAUUUAAAAUCAUGAUGCACUUGUCAUUUGAAAAUUAUGACACCUCAUCGAGCCCUUAAAUGAUUUAUCAUUUGAAAAUUAUGAACCCAUACAUAACGAACCAUUUGAAGAAUGAAAGCUUCAAUGAUACGCUAGCAAGUCAAAUACGACAACGAAUCUUCGCUGCAGCUACGCUGCAGCGAGAAUGAAUUUUCGUUGCAGCGACGUUGGGAUUUAGUUAUUAGCCAAACGAGGGUUUCUCAACUAGCCGAGGGUUUCUCACUAAACGUCCUCAUUUUAAACUUAACUCAUUUAGUCCUUAAUGUUGGAAGUCCAUGCUUUGAUAUGGUAUCAAAGAAGUGAAAAAUAGGGCAGCAAUUGGACAAGAUAGGAGAUAAAAACAGAAGGUUUUUCGCUGCAGCGAGAUUCAAUCUCACUGCAGUGAAAUUGUAACCCAAAAAUAGAAGGUUUCUCGCUGCAAUGAGAUUCUUUCUCGCUGUAGUGAAAUUUAGCUGAUGAAACAGAGAGUUUCUUGCUGCAGCGAGAUUCCUUUUCGCUUCACUGAGAAGCUACAGUGACUAUCUCGCUGCAACGAGAACCAGUUCUGGUGAAGGUUCUUAAACCCGAGAGUUUCUCGCUGCAGCAAGAAUGAUUCUCUCUGCAGCGAGAUACAGGGCACCAAUGAAAAAUUUCCCUUUCUCCUUAAGAAAAACCACCCUGCUGAAAUGUCCAAACCAACAUGAAACGCAUAACAAUAUUUCACAGUUUAACAUGUCAAGUUUCACAUGCAUUACAACCAUAUACCAUUACUCAUUAAUUUCCUAUAACACACAUAUUAACAUAUGUAUAUAUGUAUACGUAUACCCAUCAUUAUCAUGCACACCAUCCCAUCAUCAUCAUCACUAGCUCAUGCGCACUCCCUACUCGCACAUGGCUAGGUCAUCAUCAGGUUAUGUGCACUCCCUAUUCGUACAUAGCCGAGUCAAUAUAAUUACACAACGCUAUAUUCAAACAUAUAUGUAUAUCAGCAUAAUGCAGCCGAAUAGAAAUCCAUAAUAACCACAUGUUAUAACAUAAACCAUUUCUCAAGAGCUUGUUCCCAAGGCAUUCAUUUUUGAGAAAAGUUGUAUAAAAUCAUUCAAACACUUUGUACAAAAUAGUCAAAUUCCCAAAAUGAUUUUGAUAGGCAGUCCACUCACCGAUUUAUUAUUGACCUUUUAGAUGACUCUAAUUGUCCCUAAUUGUCCAAAUGGGAUGAUGGGGUUACCUUGAAACCUACCAUCACAUUAACAUCACCAUUAUGUUAAUUUACAUACUAUAAACUUUAAAAGCUAUCUCUUAACUAGCCUUCAAUUGCCACUUUAAAUGGCUAUCCAUGUUCACUAUCUAAAUCACUAUAAAAUGAAUGAAUAUACUCAACAAUAAAACAGCUCAUAAUCCCAAUUACUAGCCAUUAUUCAAAGCUAAAAAUCAAGGUUAGUUCAUCACUGACCCUAGGGCUCCUUUGUAGUUGAAUUCUCUUCCAAUAGCUUCCACACAAAUGGAGUAAUUCUUUUUUUCUCUCUCUAGAAUGCCCAACUAGUGAGAGAAAGUAUGAAAAUAGGAUUUUUUAAGGAUUUUAAAGAGAGAGAGUGGAAGAAUACAAAGGUUCUAGUCAUAAGAGCUCAAAGGUAUGAAAACUAAAGCUAGAGAGAGAAAAUCAUGCAAGCUCCAUAUCAAGCUUCC
rnacentral:lncRNA from 1 species